rnacentral:rRNA from 1 species
ACUAACAUAUCAAUAAGCGGAGGAAAAGAAACUAACAAGGAUUCCCCUAGUAACUGCGAGUGAAGCGGGAAAAGCUCAAAUUUAAAAUCUGGCAGUCUCUGGCUGUCCGAGUUGUAAUCUAGAGAAGUAAUGCCCGUGCUGGACCGUGUAUAAGUCCCCUGGGAUGGGGCGUCAUAGAGGGUGAGAAUCCCGUCUUUGACACGGACUACCAGUGCAUUGUGGUAUGCUCUCAAAGAGUCGAGUUGUUUGGGAAUGCAGCUCAAAAUGGGUGGUAAAUUCCAUCUAAAGCUAAAUAUUGGCGAGAGACCGAUAGCGAACAAGUACCGUGAGGGAAAGAUGAAAAGAACUUUGGAAAGAGAGUUAAACAGUACGUGAAAUUGCUGAAAGGGAAACGCUUGAAGUCAGUCGCGUUGGCCGGGAAUCAGCCUUGCUUUUGCAUGGUGUACUUUCUGGUUGACGGGUCAGCAUCAAUUUUGACCGCUGGAAAAAGACCUGGGGAAUGUGGCAGCUUCGGCUGUGUUAUAGCCCCUAGUUGCAUACAGUGGUUGGGAUUGAGGAACUCAGCACGCCGCAAGGCCGGGUUUCGACCACGUUCGUGCUUAGGAUGCUGGCAUAAUGGCUUUAAGCGACCCGUCUUGAAACACGGACCAAGGAGUCUAACAUGCCUGCGAGUAUUUGGGUGGAAAACCCAAGUGCGUAAUGAAAGUGAAAGUUGAGAUCCCUGUCGUGGGGAGCAUCGACGCCCGGACCAGAACUUUUGGGACGGAUCCGCGGUGGAGCAUGUAUGUUGGGACCCGAAAGAUGGUGAACUAUGCCUGAAUAGGGUGAAGCCAGAGGAAACUCUGGUGGAGGCUCGUAGCGAUUCUGACGUGCAAAUCGAUCGUCAAAUUUGGGUAUAGGGGCGAAAGACUAAUCGAACCAUCUAGUAGCUGGUUCCUGCCGAAUUCCCCU